GGGCAAUUAGCUCAGAUGGUUAGAGCGCUUCGUUUACACCGAAGAGGUCGGGGGUUCAAAUCCCUCAUUGCCCAUCA
rnacentral:tRNA from 6 species